rnacentral:rRNA from 1 species
CCCGCACAAGCAGCGAGCAUGUGGUUUAAUUCGAAGCAACGCGAAGAACCUUACCUAGACUUGACAUCUCCUGAAUUACCCGUAACUGGGGAAGCUCUUCGGAGCAGGAAGACAGGUGGUGCAUGGUUGUCGUCAGCUCGUGUCGUGAGAUGUUGGGUUAAGUCCCGCAACGAGCGCAACCCUUAUCGUUAGUUGCUACCAUUAGGUUGAGCACUCUAGCGAGACUGCCCGGGUUAACCGGGAGGAAGGUGGGGAUGACGUCAAAUCAUCAUGCCCCUUAUGUCUAGGGCUACACACGUGCUACAAUGGUGAGGACAAAGAGACGCAAGACCGCGAGGUGGAGCAAAUCUCACAAACCUCAUCCCAGUUCGGAUUGCAGGCUGAAACUCGCCUGCAUGAAGCCGGAGUUGCUAGUAAUCGCGAAUCAGCAUGUCGCGGUGAAUACGUUCCCGGGCCUU